rnacentral:rRNA from 1 species
CCUACGGGUGGCAGCAGUGGGGAAUCUUCCGCAAUGGGCGAAAGCCUGACGGAGCAACGCCGCGUGAGUGAAGAAGGUCUUCGGAUCGUAAAGCUCUGUUGUUGGGGACGAAAGGAAAAGGGAGGAAAUGCCCUUUUUAAGACGGUACCCGACGAGCAAGCCACGGCUAACUACGUGCCAGCAGCCGCGGUAAUACGUAGGUGGCGAGCGUUGUCCGGAAUGAUUGGGCGUAAAGGGAGCGCAGGUGGGACGGUAAGUCCUUCUUAAAAGCGUGGGGCUCAGCCCCAUGAAGGGAAGGAAACUAUCGAUCUUGAGUGCCGGAGAGGAAAGCGGAAUUCCCAGUGUAGCGGUGAAAUGCGUAGAUAUUGGGAAGAACACCAGUGGCGAAGGCGGCUUUCUGGACGGCAACUGACACUGAGGCUCGAAAGCCAGGGGAGCGAACGGGAUUAGAUACCCCAGUAGUC